rnacentral:rRNA from 1 species
ACAAGCCAUGCAUGCCCGCACACCCGGAAGCGGCGGACGGCUCAGGACAACGGUUGCACCCCCCGCGGCGGUCCCUGCUAGCCGGACACCGCUGGCAACCCGGCGCCAAGACGUGCGCGCAAGUGCGGACGCCCGCGGG